UACGUAGGGGGCUAGCGUUGUCCGGAAUCAUUGGGCGUAAAGCGCGUGUAGGCGGUUCGGUAAGUCCGCUGUGAAAGUCGGGGGCUCAACCCUCGAAUGCCGGUGGAUACUGUCGGACUAGAGUACGGAAGAGGCGAGUGGAAUUCCUGGUGUAGCGGUGAAAUGCGCAGAUAUCAGGAGGAACACCAAUGGCGAAGGCAGCCUUCUGGGCCAACACUGACGCUCAUGCACGAAAGCGUGGGGAGCAAACAGG
rnacentral:rRNA from 1 species